UACGGAGGAUCCAAGCGUUAUCCGGAUUUAUUGGGUUUAAAGGGUGCGUAGGUUGGUUUUUUAAGUCAGGGGGUGAAAGACGGCAGCUUAACUGUCGCAGUGCCUUUGAUACUGAAGAACUUGAAUCCACUAGAGGUAGGCGGAAUGUGACAAGUAGCGGUGAAAUGCAUAGAUAUGUCACAGAACACCAAUUGCGAAGGCAGCUUACUAUGGUGGUAUUGACACUGAGGCACGAAAGCGUGGGGAUCAAACAGG
rnacentral:rRNA from 1 species